rnacentral:rRNA from 1 species
AUUGAACGCUGGCGGCAGGCCUAACACAUGCAAGUCGAACGAGUGGCGGACGGGUGAGUAAUGUCUGGGAAACUGCCUGAUGGCGGGGGAUAACUACUGGAAACGGUGGCUAAUACCGCAUACCAUCAGAGGUGCCCAGAUGGGAUUAGCUAGUUGGUGGGGUAACGGCUCACCAAGGCGACGAUCCCUAGCUGGUUUGAGAGGAUGACCAGCCACACUGGAACUGAGACACGGCCCAGACUCCUACGGGAGGCAGCAGUGGGGAAUUUUGGACAAUGGGCGCAAGCCUGAUGCAGCCAUGCCGCGUGUAUGAAGAAGGCCUUCGGGUUGUAAAGUACUUUCAGCGGGGAGGCGUUACCUGCAGAAGAAGCACCGGCUAACUCCGUGCCAGCAGCCGCGGUAAUAC